GUUGUGAUGGCUGAGAGGUUAAGGUGUUGGGUUUGAAAUCUAAUGGGGUCUCCCUGCGCAGGUUCAAAUCCUGCUCACAGUG